GGCAUCCUUGUCUUGUUCCAUUUCCAAAGGAAAUUGUUCCAGCUUUGCUCAGUCAGUGUGAAGUCAGCUGAGGGUUUGUCAUAGAUGGCUCUUAUUAUCUGAGAACAUUUUCCAACUGUGGCUCAAAACAGAGACUGAGAUUUGACAACAAAAGAAGGAUCAGACAGAUGUGAUGUUGCUGGUUUUGAAGACUCAAGAAGAGCCAUGAGCCAAGGAAUGAGUGCAACACCUAAAAGCUGAAAACGGCAAGGAGCCGGAUUCUCCCCGGAGCCUCCAGAAAUGAUCACAGCCCUACUGACUCCUAAAUUUAGCUCACGAAGACCUUUGUUAGAUGUCUGAUGUUCACAAUUACAUGAAAACAAAUUUGUGUUUGCUAAGCCACCAAGAGUACAGUAAUUUGUUACAUCAGCAGUGAAAACCAAUAGAUUUAUCUUACUUUAUUUUUACAGCUUGUGAUAUAAUUUACCAUUUCUUUCUUGAAUUGAUCUCCCAUAUUUAUUUUAUAUUUCCAUAGGUUAUUAAGAAACAGAUGGUGUUUGGUUAUAUAAGUAACUUCUUUAGUGGUGAUUUGUGAGAUUUCGGUGCAUCCAUCACCCAAGAAGUAUACACUGCACCCUAUUUGUAGUUGUUUUUUUUCUCCCACCCUCCGAGAUAGGGUCCCACUCUGUCACCCAGGCUGGAAUGCAGUGGCGCAUCUCUGCUCACUGCAACCUCUGGCUCCUGGGCUCAAACAAUUCUCCUGCCUCAGCCUCCAGAGUAGCUGGGAUUACAGGCACCUACUGCCACACUUGGCUAAUUUUUGUAUUUUUGGUAGAGAUGGGGUUUCACCAUGUUGGCCACGCUGGUUUUGAACUCCUGACCUCAAAUGAUCCUCCCACCUCGGCUUUCCAUAGUGCUGGGAUUACAGGUGUGAGCCACCACGCCCGGCCCUAUUUGUAGUCUUUUAUCCUUCACCCCCUUCCUAACCCUUCUGCCUGAGUCCCCAAAGUCCAUUGUGUUAUUCUUAUGCCUUUGCAUCCUCAUAGUUUAGCUCCCAUUUAUGAGUGAGAGCAUAUGAUGUUUGCUUUUCAAUUCCUGAGUUACUUCACUUAAAAUAGUCUCCGAUCUCAGCCAGGUCACUGCAAAUUCCAUUAAUUCAUUGCUUUUUUUUGUGGCUGAGUAGUAUUCCAUCGUGUGUGUGUGUGUGUGUGUGUGUGUGUGUGUGUAUACACCACAGUUUAUCCACUCAUUGAUUGAUGGGCAUUUGGGUUAGUUCCACGUUUUUGCAAUUAUGCACUGUGCUGCUAUAAACAUGCCCAUGCAAGUAUCUUUUUCAUAUAAUGACUUAUUUUCCUCAGUAGUGGGAUUGCUGGAUCAAAUGGUACUUCUACUUUUAGUUCUUUAAGGAAUUUCCACACUGUUUUCUAUAGUGGUUGUACUAGUUUACAUUCCCACCAGCAGUAUAGAAGUGUUCCCUGUCUACUGUAUCCAUGCCAACAUCUACUAUUUUGUGAUUUUUUGAUUAUGGCCAUUCUUUCAGGAGUAAGGUCGUAUCACAUUGUGGUUUUGAUUUGCAUUUCCCUGAUCAUUAGCAAUGUUGCGCAUUUUUUUCAUGUUUGUUGUCCAUUUGUAUAUCUUCUUCUGAGAAUUGUCUAUUCACGUCCUUAGCCCACUUUUUGAUGGAAUUGCUUGUUCCAUGUUAGAGUUCAUUGUAGAUUGUGGAUAUUAGUUCUUUGUCAGAUGUACAGCUUGUGAAGACUUUUCCCCCACUGUGUAGUUGUCUGUUUACUCUGCUGACUGCUCCUUUUGCCAUGCAAAAGCUCUUUAGUUUAAGUCCCAGCUAUUUAUCUUUGUUUUUAUUGCAUUUGCUUUUGGGUUCUUGGUCAUGAAAUUCUUGUCUAAGCCAAUGUCUAGAAGGCUUUUUUCCAAAGUUAUCUUCUAGAACUUUUAUAGUUUCAGAUUUUAGAUUUAAGUCCUUAGUCCAACUUGAGCUGAUUUUUUAAGGUGAGAGAUGAGGAUCCAGUUUCAUUUUCCUACAUGUAGUUAGCCAAUUACCCCAGCACCAUUGUUGAAAAGGGUGUCCUUUUCCCAUUUGUUUUUGUUUGCCUUGUUGAAGACCAGUUGGGUGUAAGUAUUUAGGUUUAUUUCCAGGUUCUCCACUCUGUUCCAUUGGCCUAUGUGCCUAUUUUUAUACCAGUACCAUGCUGUUUUGUUGACUAUGGCCUCAUAAUACAGUUUGAAAUCAGGUAAUGUGAUUUUGCUUAGUCUUGCUUUGGCUAUGCGGGCUCAUUUUUUGGUUCCCUAUGAAUGUUAGAAUUGUUUUUUCUAAUUCUGUGAAGAAUGAUGGUGGUAUUUUGAUGUGAAUUGCAUUGAAUUUGUAGAUUGCUUUUGGCAGUAUGGUCAUUUUCACAAUAUUGAUUCUAUCUAUGAACAUAGGAUGUGUUUCCUUUUGUUUGUUUUGUCUAUGAUUUCUUUCAGUAGUGUUUUCUAGCUUUCAUUGUAGAGGUCUUUCACUUCCUUAGGUAUAUUCCUAAUUUUUUUUUUUUUGCGGCUAUUGUAAAAGGGGUUGAGUUCUUGAUUUGAUUCUCAGCCUUGUCUCUGUUAGUAUAUAGAAGAACUACUGAUUUAUGUACAUUAAUCUUGUAUCCAGAAACUUUGUUGAAUUCCUUUAUCAGUUCUAGGAGCUUUCCGGAGGAGUCUUUAGGGUUUUCUAGGUAAACAAUCAUGUGAUCAACAAACAGUGACAGUUUGAUUUCCUCUUUACUAUUUGGAUGCCCUCUAUUUUUUUUUUCUUUUCUGAUUGCUCUGGCUAGGACUUCUAGUACUAUGUUGAAGAGGAGUGGUGAGAGUGGGCAUCCUUGUUUUGUUCCAGUCCUCAGAGUGAAUGCUUCCAACUUUUUCCCAUUCAGUAUUAUGUUGGCUGUGGGUCUGUCAUAGAUGGCUUUUAUUAUAUUGAGGUACAUCUCUUGUAUGCCAAUUGUGCUGAGAGUUUUAACCAUAAAGGGAUGCUGGAUUUUGUAGAAUUGUUUUUCUGCAUCUAUUGAGAUAAUCAUACGAUGCUUGUUUUUAAUACUGUUUAUGUGGUGUAUCACAUUUCUUUUUUUUUUUAAGAGGAAAAUCUUUUUUAUGGUAUAAUAAAACAAGGCCAAACAAAAAAAGCUCAAUAACUAUUUAUCUCUGCAGAUAAAACAUGUAGACAGAUGCAGCUGCCUCGACUGGCUCAGGUUCUAAGAGGAGGGCAUUAGGACACCUUGCCCUCCACAAUAACAAGUGGUUUCAUUCUAAAAGAUCCCCAGAUGAAAGCAGGAGGAUUCCAAGGAAGGGUGAGAUGAAAGAAGUCCUAUGACCUGAACGAACUCUUAACAGCACCUUAAAUUAUGGAGACCUCAUCUUUUGGUCCCAGUUUUCCAGGUCUGACCCUUCAGUGUCCAGAUAACCACCAACACCUGCCUGGUGGGGACACGUGGGCAGCAACAUGGAGCGACAGUGCGCAGCAUGCUACACACUGGAGGGCAGACACUGGAUAACAGUCUUUAGGCUCAGCCUGUCACACAAGUGCAUGCUCAGAGCUC
rnacentral:lncRNA from 1 species